GAAUAUCUAAAAGGUCAAAAUAUAGUGAUGAGAUAAAAUAUUUAAUAUAAAAAAGCUAAAAAAAUAAAAAAAUAAAAUUACCUUUGAUAAAUAAUAUAAGAUUAGCACUUUUUAACUUGGUAUAUUAGUCUUCUUCUAAGCUACUACAAGAUAAAAAAUUUUGGAGAAGUUUGAUGCUCUAUUAUUAGAUCUUCAUCUUGUUAAUAAAGUCUUUUCAAAAAAAUUACUUUAAUUGCAUAUACUUAAUGGAAAAGAUUUUUAUACUAGAACUUUUGGAAAUAGAUAUAAAGAAUAUAAAAAAUAAUUUUUAUCACAGACAAUCCUAAACCUUAAAUCAAAUCUUAAAGAAAUCCUAAAUCCUAAAUCAAAUCCUAAGGCAAAUUAGGACCCUAAAAUUUAUUGAUUAAACCAUUGAUCUUGCUUAAAAAAAUAUACACACCUCUUAAUCUCUUAGUUAAAAAAUAAUACAACAAAUUUUAAGAUAAUUGCAUUUAUCAAAUGGAAGAAAAAUCCUAAAACCAACUCAAGUAUUGGCGAGCUUCCUACUCCAAUCUAAAUGUUGAACUUCCAAUGCCAAUAUCUCUUUUUUAAAAUAUUUAGUUAUUUUUAAAUUUCAUAUAUAUAUAUAGCAAAUCAAGUCUAUUACCUUCAUACAUAAAUUUCACUCCUA
rnacentral:lncRNA from 1 species